rnacentral:rRNA from 1 species
UGCAGAAUCCCGUGAACCAUCGAGUCUUUGAACGCAAGUUGCGCCCGAGGCCUUCAGGUCGAGGGCACAUCUGCUUGGGCGUUA